rnacentral:rRNA from 1 species
CCUACGGGGAGCAGCAGUCGAGAAUCAUUCGCAAUGGGGGAAACCCUGAUGGUGCAACGCCGCGUGGGGGAAUGAAGCUCUUCGGUUGUUAAAUCCCUGUCAUAGGGGAGCGCAUUAAAAAGAUAGUACCACAAGAGGCAGGGACAGCUACCUCUGUGCCAGCACCCGCGGUAAUACAGAGGUAUCAAGGGUUGUUCUGAAUCACUGGGCGUAACGCGUGGGCAGGCUGUGUGACAAGUCAAGGGUGAAAUCCCCGCGCGCAACGUGGGAACUGCAUUUGAAACUGGCAAACUGGAGUGUGUGAGAGGAAAGGGGAAUUCCAGGUGUAGGAGUGAAAUGCGUAGAUAUUUGGAGGAACAUCAGUGGCGAAGGCGACUAUCUGGCACAUAACUGACGCUGAGGAGCGAAAGCGUGGGUAGCAAACAGGAUUAGAUACCCGGGUAGUC